UGCCACAAGUAAUGACAUAAAUGGUGCAAUAAAUGAAGAGAUAAAAUCGGAUGAACAACUUAUGGAUAAUGAAUUUUUCUCUAUAAGUAAUAAAAAUUAUAAUUUAGAUAAAACCCGUUUAUGUACAUUUUUACAUUUAAACGAAGAAAAUGUACUCGAAAAUAAUAAUGAAAAAGAAGAAUCGACACCCUUAAUUUCUUACAUAAUCGAAUUUGUUGAAUUUUUAUUUUACGAUCAAUUUUAUUCAAAAAAUUGUAAUUUAGUUUAUGAAAAAAAAAAUGAUAAUUAUGAACACAUUUUUAAUAGUUGUACCUAUAACAACGUGAAUUACUUAAAAGAAUACUUAAAAAAAAUUAAUGAAUCUUUUUGCUUUGGUUAUUAUGAAAAUAUACAAAACUUAAUGAAUAAUCAAUUUGUAAAACAAAUGGAAAAACCAAAUUCAAUUAUUCAUUAUCUUGGUGUAUUUUAUAAUAAAAAAGUUUUAAAAAAUGCGUUAAUUUUAUUAAAUAUUUAUAAUAUCAUAACACAAAAUGCUAAAAAAAGGUAUAGUCAGACUUAUUUAUAUUUAUCUCUAAAGGUAUUAAAUACGCUUUUAUUUUUUAUUAUACAGGAAAAGCACAAAAGUGAAUACAAUGAAAAAAGGCAUACAGACAAACAAAAUGGACAACGCACAGAUGAGAAAAAUGAACAAAACGACAAAAACGACAAAAACGACAAAAACGACAAAAACGACAAAAACGACAAAAACGAACAAAACGACAAAAACGACAAAAACGACAAAAACGACAAAAACGAACAAAACGACAAAAACGAACAAAACGAACAAAACGACAAAAACGACAAAGACGACAAAAACGACAAAAACGAACAAAACGACCAAAACAAGCUUAAAAAAAAAAAAUCUAGCAAAAUAAAGUAUUACUAUAAAUUAUCAUUUCAUGUUUUUAAUAGCCUAAUUGAUUAUUUACUAAAGAAUAUACAAAAUGAAAUAAAUUUUUAUAUCUUAAUAAAACAUAUACUUGUCCCUAGUUUGUUCUAUUUAUAUGUAAAUUUUAUUAAUUUUACUCUUAACUUUAAUUUAAAAUUAAAAUAUAAAAAAGUAAUUGAAGAUUUUAAAAUGAUAUCAAUGCCUAUGAAGUUAGAAAAUUAUAUUGAAAUAUAUAAUAGUAAAUAUAAAAAACAAAAAGAAAAAUAUUUUUCUUAUUUAUUGUAUUUAUAUAAAAUAAUACUAUACUCAAAUACAUUUGAAAUUAAACCUAUAGUAUAUCAAGAUUUAAGUCAAACUUAUAUACCUAACUUUACACCUAAAUAUGCUAAUAAUAAAAAUCCAAAAGAUUUUCUUUAUAUGAAUAAUAAUCAGACACAUUUAAUAGAUAUGAAAUCAAUGAAAAAAAAAAUCAAACAACAGAAAAAACUAAAUUAUAAUGAGAUAAGGAAGGAAAACAGUUACAUCAUUGGCAUAAAGGCAAGAGAAGAAAGGGAAAGAGUUAAACGAAACAAAGAAAGAUACAAAAAAAUUCAACAAAUGGCAAAACAAGAUGCUGAAAAUUAUAAAAAUAUGAAAACUUAUGUGCAUUAG
ensembl:lncRNA